rnacentral:rRNA from 1 species
UACGGGGGGGGCAAGCGUUGUUCGGAAUUACUGGGCGUAAAGGGCGCGUAGGCGGCUCUUCAAGUCAGCCGUGAAAUCUCCAGGCUUAACCUGGAAGGGUCGGUUGAUACUGUCGAGCUAGAGUGUAGAAGAGGCAACUGGAAUUCCGUGUGUAGCGGUGAAAUGCGUAGAUAUACGGAGGAACACCUGCGGCGAAGGCGGGUUGCUGGGCUAACACUGACGCUGAUGCGCGAAAGCCAGGGGAGCAAACGGG